GUAGACACAUCCAAAUUAUAUUCUGAAAAGAUCAUAUCAUCUUAAGCUUUUAUCAAAAAUUUGCAGGGGGCACCCAGGCAGCUCCGUCGCUUAAGCAUCCAACUCUUGGUCUUGCUCAGUUGAUCAGCUCUGAUCUCACAUAGUGAGUUAAAGCCCUGCAUUGAACCCAGCAUGGAGCCUACUUAAAAAAAAAAAAGUGUGAGUAUCCUCUUUCUUGUCUUUUUAAAGGAAGUAUUUUAUGUUUAUUCCUUCCCUUAUUUUUUGACUAUUUUUUGCCUUGGAAAGGAUCAGAGUGGGCCUACAAUGAAAGCCAGAAAAGAGGAUAAAUGAACCAAAGCCAGCUGCUGUUCAUCUACUGUGCCCUGGGGAGCCAGAUGUCACGUCUUGCAGCUAGGUGUGCCGUUAGAAGGAGUCAGUCUUGGAGAGACUCUAACUUUAUUCUUGGGACCUUAAUGCCCAUGUGAGGCUCCUUUUAAGGAAAGCUGGCUGCUUGAGGCCACCACCGUGGAGCAGGAGUGGGCCACGAACCCAAGGACAGCCAGCUGUGGAUUGACCAGCAGCCAGUGAGACAGCCCCCAGAAGGACACCCGUAACUUAACUGAACCCAUC
rnacentral:lncRNA from 12 species